rnacentral:rRNA from 1 species
AGCGAACGCUGGCGGCAGGCCUAACACAUGCAAGUCGAACGAACCUUUCGGGGUUAGUGGCGGACGGGUGAGUAACACGUGGGAACGUGCCUUUAGGUUCGGAAUAACUCAGGGAAACUUGUGCUAAUACCGAAUGUGCCCUUCGGGGGAAAGAUUAAUCGCCUUUAGAGCGGCCCGCGUCUGAUUAGCUAGUUGGUUGAGGUAAUGGCGCACCAAGGCGACGAUCAGUAGCUGGUCUGAGAGGAUGAUCCGCCACAUUGGGACUGAGACACGGCCCAAACUCCUACGGGAGGCAGCAGUGGGGAAUCUUGCGCAAUGGGCGAAAGCCUGACGCAGCCAUGCCGCGUGAAUGAUGAAGGUCUUAGGAUUGUAAAAUUCUUUCACCGGGGACGAUAAUGACGGUACCCGGAGAAGAAGCCCCGGCUAACUUCGUG